AUCCUGGCUCAGAUUGAACGCUGGCGGCAUGCCUUACACAUGCAAGUCGAACGGCAGCACGGGGCAACCUGGUGGCGAGUGGCGAACGGGUGAGUAAUGCAUCGGAACGUGCCAUUGAGUGGGGGAUAACGUAGCGAAAGUUGCGCUAAUACCGCAUAUUCUGUGAGCAGGAAAGCAGGGGACCGCAAGGCCUUGCACUCUUUGAGCGGCCGAUGUCAGAUUAGCUAGUUGGUGAGGUAACGGCUUACCAAGGCGACGAUCUGUAGCGGGUCUGAGAGGAUGAUCCGCCACACUGGAACUGAGACACGGUCCAGACUCCUACGGGAGGCAGCAGUGGGGAAUUUUGGACAAUGGGCGCAAGCCUGAUCCAGCCAUGCCGCGUGAGUGAAGAAGGCCUUCGGGUUGUAAAGCUCUUUCGGCCGGGAAGAAAUCGCAUGGGUUAAUACCCUGUGUGGAUGACGGUACCGGAAUAAGAAGCACCGGCUAACUACGUG
rnacentral:rRNA from 1 species